rnacentral:rRNA from 1 species
UGGGGAAUAUUGCACAAUGGAGGGAACUCUGAUGCAGCGACGCCGCGUGAACGAAGAAGGCUUUCGAGUCGUAAAGUUCUUUUAUAUGGGAAGAUAAUGACGGUACCAUAAGAAGAAGCCCCGGCUAACUACGUGCCAGCAGCCUCGGUAAUACGUAGGGGGCUAGCGUUGUCCGGAAUCACUGGGCGUAAAGGGUUCGCAGGCGGAAAUGCAAGUCAGGUGUAAAAGGCAGUAGCUUAACUACUGUAAGCAUUUGAAACUGCAUAUCUUGAGAAGAGUAGAGGUAAGUGGAAUUUUUAGUGUAGCGGUGAAAUGCGUAGAUAUUAAAAAGAAUACCGGUGGCGAAAGCGACUUACUGGGAUCAUUCUGACGCUGAGGAACGAAAGCGUGAGUAGCAAACAGG